rnacentral:rRNA from 1 species
UACGGGGGGGGCAAGCGUUGUCCGGAAUUAUUGGGCGUAAAGAGCUUGUAGGCGGUUUGUCGCGUCUGCUGUGAAAUCUCAAGGCUCAACCUUGAGCUUGCAGUGGGUACGGGCAGACUAGAGUGUGGUAGGGGAGACUGGAAUUCCUGGUGUAGCGGUGAAAUGCGCAGAUAUCAGGAGGAACACCGAUGGCGAAGGCAGGUCUCUGGGCCACUACUGACGCUGAGAAGCGAAAGCAUGGGGAGCGAACAGG